AACGAACGCUGGCGGCAUGCCUAACACAUGCAAGUCGAACGAGACCUUCGGGUCUAGUGGCGCACGGGUGCGUAACGCGUGGGAACCUGCCCUUAGGUUCGGAAUAACUCCCCGAAAUGGGUGCUAAUACCGGAUAAUUUCUUCGGACCAAAGAUUUAUCGCCUUUGGAUGGGCCCGCGUUGGAUUAGCUAGUUGGUAGGGUAAAAGCCUACCAAGGCGUCGAUCCAUAGCUGGUCUGAGAGGAUGAUCAGCCACACUGGGACUGAGACACGGCCCAGACUCCUACGGGAGGCAGCAGUGGGGAAUAUUGGACAAUGGGCGAAAGCCUGAUCCAGCAAUGCCGCGUGAGUGAUGAAGGCCUUAGGGUUGUAAAGCUCUUUUACCCGGGAUGAUAAUGACAGUACCGGGAGAAUAAGCUCCGGCUAACUCCGUG
rnacentral:rRNA from 1 species